GAUGAACGCUGGCGGCGUGCCUAAUACAUGCAAGUCGAGCGAACGGACGAGAAGCUUGCUUCUCUGAUGUUAGCGGCGGACGGGUGAGUAACACGUGGAUAACCUACCUAUAAGACUGGGAUAACUUCGGGAAACCGGAGCUAAUACCGGAUAAUAUUUUGAACCGCAUGGUUCAAAAGUGAAAGACGGUCUUGCUGUCACUUAUAGUGGAUCCGCGCUGCAUUAGCUAGUUGGUAAGGUAACGGCUUACCAAGGCAACGAUGCAUAGCCGACCUGAGAGGGUGAUCGGCCACACUGGAACUGAGACACGGUCCAGACUCCUACGGGAGGCAGCAGUAGGGAAUCUUCCACAAUGGGCGAAAGCCUGACGGAGCAACGCCGCGUGAGUGAUGAAGGUCUUCGGAUCGUAAAACUCUGUUAUUAGGGAAGAACAUAUGUGUAAGUAACUGUGCACAUCUUGACGGUACCUAAUCAGAAAGCCACGGCUAACUACGUG
rnacentral:rRNA from 1 species